CAGAGAGAGAGCUCUAUGAAGUCAUGACCAUCCCUGGAAAGAGACAACUUGCAUCAUAAGGGGAUGAACAAGAAUCUCUCUGAAAGUCAAUAACAUAUUCUCAGAGAGAAGACAAAGAAAUGGGCAGGUGAAGAACGGGCAGUUGGAGGGAAAGAUGAUCAAUGAAGUUCAUCUGCACAGCCAGAGAUGCUCUUGGAGCAGCCACUCUGUGGAGCCUUUUCAUCUCGAUGUCAGCGUUUUAAAAAUAUUCAGCCUAUACUCUUCUUGGUGCAGCAUGAGAAACAAGGAAGAGGGCCAUGGGCCUGUUGAGGGCGAAGCUACUGCAAACAGGCCUGUGCCUGGCUCUCCCCUCAGUCCGCAGAGGGUCUUCUUCUGCCUGCGUCCGCUCCUGUCCCAUCUCCUUCCUGGCACCACAGUGCCAUCGAAAACGCAGAUAUGACCACAGCUCCUCUUGGACAAGAAGUCUUCAACAUUCCCUACUGCCAACGUGAGAAAACUCGUCAUCCUUGAUGUGAUGUGCGAGGCCUCCCACCAUCUAGCCCUGGCCUACCUCUUCUAAGUUCUUCUCACAGAUCAUUCCUGCAUCCACUAGAAGCACUUCCUGUUCCCUCCUACCCCUGGGCCUGCCCAUGUUGCUCCUACAGGGCCACCUACAAGGCCCACUUACCUCCUCUCCUCACAUCCUCUGUCGGCCUUCGAAACUCCUUUUCCUCCUGUAAGACUCUGCUCCGUGAAGCCUUCUCUCACCAACCUCCUGCCCAAGUCAACUGACUUAGGGAAGAGAAAUGCCCAGAGCCUUAGAGAAAUAUCGUCUCAUUAGGCUUCAGCCUCGUGUCAAAGGCCGACUCGUACUUCCAGCAGCCCACACAGAUCCCCAGCUUUCCUGAGUUUUUAUGUUAUUUAAAUCUGUGACACAUAUCUGAACACUUCUUUUCCACCACAGAUUUGAAAUAAUGCCAAAAAUUCUGACCAAGUCAUUCUCUUCCAGGAAUCUGUCCUGAGGAAAUAAUCAAAAAGCUGGUUAAACAUUUAUGAACACAGACUCUUAUUGCAGCAUUUUUUAUAAUUACAAAAAGAAAAUUUUAAAAAGGGAACAGUCUAAGUGUGUAACAGCAGG
rnacentral:lncRNA from 1 species